AUAUCAAUAAGCGGAGGAAAAGAAACUAACAAGGAUUCCCCUAGUAACGGCGAGUGAAGCGGGAAGAGCUCAAAUUUAAAAUCUGGUUUGCUUGCAAAUCCGAGUUGUAGUCUGAAGAAACGUUUUCCAUGAAAAUCGAGGCACAAGUCCUUUGGAACAGGGCAUCAUAGAGGGUGAGAAUCCCGUCCAUGGUCUCGAAUCUUUCAUUUUGUGAUACGUUUUCUAAGAGUCAGGUUGUUUGGGAAUGCAGCCUAAAAUGGGUGGUAAAUUUCAUCUAAAGCUAAAUAUUGGCGAGAGACCGAUAGCGAACAAGUACCGUGAGGGAAAGAUGAAAAGAACUUUGAAAAGAGAGUUAAAAAGUACGUGAAAUUGUUGAAAGGGAAGCGCUUGCAACCAGACUUGCACGCUGCUGAUCAUCCGGGGUUCUCCCCGGUGCACUCGGUUGCGUUCAGGCCAGCAUCGGUUUGGGUGGUUGGAUAAAGGCCUUGGGAAUGUAGCUUCUUUCGGGGAGUGUUAUAGCCCUCGGUGCAAUGCAGCCUACCCGGACCGAGGACCGCGCUUCGGCUAGGAUGCUGGCGUAAUGGUUGUAAGCGA
rnacentral:rRNA from 1 species